AGUGAACGCUGGCGGUAGGCCUAACACAUGCAAGUCGAACGGCAGCACAGGAGAGCUUGCUCUCUGGGUGGCGAGUGGCGGACGGGUGAGGAAUACAUCGGAAUCUACUUUUUCGUGGGGGAUAACGUAGGGAAACUUACGCUAAUACCGCAUACGACCUACGGGUGAAAGCAGGGGACCUUCGGGCCUUGCGCGAUUGAAUUAGCCGAUGUCGGAUUAGCUAGUUGGCGGGGUAAAGGCCCAACAAGGCGACGAUCCGUAGCUGGUCUGAGAGGAUGAUCAGCCACACUGGAACUGAGACACGGUCCAGACUCCUACGGGAGGCAGCAGUGGGGAAUAUUGGACAAUGGGCGCAAGCCUGAUCCAGCCAUACCGCGUGGGUGAAGAAGGCCUUCGGGUUGUAAAGCCCUUUUGUUGGGAAAGAAAUCCAGCUGGCUAAUACCCGGUUGGGAUGACGGUACCCAAAGAAUAAGCACCGGCUAACUUCGUGCCAGCAGCCGCCGUAA
rnacentral:rRNA from 1 species